CCGCGGCCGCGGCCCGGGCGGCGCCUCCGGUCUCCUCCGGGGUCUCCGUCCGGGCUCGGCCGCGCCGCCAUACGGCCACCACGGAGCUUAAAUGCCGAGGUCCUCGGGGCGAGGGGUUGGCUGGUCGUCGUCAAAAGCCGGGAGCGCCGGCCUCCCCGUCAUUCGGGGUGGCUCGCCCGCGAGCUCCUCGAGGCCGGGUGGGCACCGUGUUCUCGCCGUAACGUCCCCCACCCGGGCCUCCGCCGAGCCCAGCCGAAGCCUCUGUGCUAGUGGACUGAAGAAGUGAUGGCGGCGGAGCGCCCGGAGGGCGGAAGUGGGUGGUUUGUUGGGUGGGCGUUGACCUGUUCGUGCCCUCGGUCCGGAUGAUCCGAGGAUGCACCACCUUCUGGGAGUAUCAGAUUUCCUCUUGUCCAAGCUUCUCUUUCGCUCCCCACACUGUUACAACAUCAUCCUUGAAAGGUGAUCAGCAUAGAGAAGAGACCUGUCACUCUGCUCUGCCAACACAGAACGCCCUUUACUGGAACAGGGCAACAGGAAGGUGGGGACAGACAUCAGAAAAUGAUAUGAUUGCUUUUUAUUUCGAUGAGAGUAACAAGGAAGCCCCCCGCCACUCUGCCUUAUGUAAAAACACGUCCAGCAUCGUGAGCAGCAGUCAUCAGCGGGAAGGGACCAAGCCCCAGGCACCCACAGAGCAUCUUCAAGCCACAAUUCUAGGCUCCCUCAACUGUGUGCAGAGCCACUGGCCAACACCACGAAUUCAGCUUCCCAUCGCAUCUUGUCUUCUCUCCUUUCCUCUCUUUCAAGGCUUCAGGAAUACAGCAGAAGGAUCACGAUGUGGAAAACAAGGACAGUUCUCACAAGCACAUCGCUGUCGGCCUGUGCGGGGUAAACUCAGGAAGGCACGCAAUAAAUUAAAGCAGACCCCGUCUCUCGGGAGGGUCUGCAGUGGCCUCCAGGGUGGGGACCGGGUCUGCCAGCAGCCGAGUUUCCAGCACUGGUGA
rnacentral:lncRNA from 1 species